rnacentral:rRNA from 1 species
AUUGAACGCUGGCGGCAGGCCUAACACAUGCAAGUCGAACGAGCGGCGGACGGGUUAGUAAUGUCUGGGAAACUGCCUGAUGGAUGGGGAUAACUACUGGAAACGGUAGCUAAUACCGCAUACCAUCAGAUGUGCCCAGAUGGGAUUAGCGAGUUGGUGGGGUAACGGCUCACCAAGGCGACGAUCCCUAGCUGGUGUCGGGGGAUAACCAGCCACACUGGAACUGAGACACGGUCCAGACUCCUACGGGUGGCAGCAGUGGGGCUUAUUGCAACCUGGGCGCAAGCCUGAUGCAGCCAUGCCGCGUGUAUGAAAACGACCUUCUGAUUGUAAAGUACUUUCAGCGGGGAGGCGUUACCCGCAGAAGAAGCACCGGCUAACUCCGUGCCAGCAGCCGCGGUAAUAC